UAAGGAAUAUUGGUCAAUGGACGCAAGUCUGAACCAGCCAUGCCGCGUGGAGGAUGAAGGUCCUCUGGAUUGUAAACUUCUUUUAUCUGGGACGAAACACUUCUUUUCUAAGAGGCCUGACGGUACCAGAUGAAUAAGCACCGGCUAACUCCGUGCCAGCAGCCGCGGUAAUACGGAGGGUGCAAGCGUUAUCCGGAUUCACUGGGUUUAAAGGGUGCGUAGGUGGGUAUGUAAGUCAGUGGUGAAAUCCCCGAGCUUAACUUGGGAACUGCCAUUGAUACUAUAUGUCUUGAAUUAUCUGGAGGUAAGCGGAAUAUGUCAUGUAGCGGUGAAAUGCUUAGAUAUGAUAUAGAACACCAAUUGCGAAGGCAGCUCGCUGGACAACACGUGACGCUGAGGCGCGAAAGUGUGGGGAGCAAACC
rnacentral:rRNA from 1 species